CACUGAGGAGAUAUCUCUGCACAAUAUAGCAAUCUACCAAAGCAAGUGAAACAGGGAAAGCAAUGUCUCUGAACAGGAUUGCUUACCCCGUGUGGUGUUUGCUCCUUUGUUUCUUCAAUGGGUCACUUAUUAUAUAUAAAAAUUACAUAUUUGUAUAUGUGCAUGCAUAUAUACGUGGGUUAAGUGAAAAAGUGACAGAUCAUGGCUAGGGCACAUUAGGAUUUUAUAAGGCCAUGCUCAAAUUUUGUGAGUAGAGGCAUUUGGUACACAGGGCUAAGAUGGACACAACCCAGCUUUCUCUCAUCAGGCAUCAUUUCCUUUCGUUUUCUUUGAGAUGCCCUGUGAUUGUUCCUGUCUGAUCACAUUCCCCACUCUCCUUGCCCUGAAGCUAACAUCUUUGCACUGGCUGGAGUAAGCCCAAAGGUUGUUAAACACUGGUUUGGCCACUGGGUUUUGCUACAGGAAUGAAAGUGGAUGAAUGCCUCGUGCUGAUCCACACCUUGAGAAAUUGAAUUCCUUUCCCAAGAGGCCAAUAAGCACCCUUAGACAGCAGUGCUUGAGAAGCAGCUGCCAUGGUGUGGAGCAGAGCUUUCUGAUGAGGAUCCUAUACCACUAAAAGGUUCCAGCAAGCAUCAAUGAAAGAAGCAAGUCUAGUGCUUAUGCCUUCCCCCACUCACGUGAUUCAGCAUCUCCUGUUCCCACUCACAAAGUUUUCAGGUAAAUAGCUCAGGGACAACUUAAAAAAGCAAUCUGCCACCAAACUAGUGUCUCCCAGCCUUUUUAACAGUCUUCCUCUUAAUAUUUUUUUUUGGUUUUGCAGAAUUGAAUUUUACCUGUAGUAAGGAUCAGCCUUGAGCUGACUUUGCACUCUUAAGCUCUGCUGAGAGCUGAUCCUGAAUUGCAGAUUUUGCCUGGAUUUUGCAGAGUUCUCUGAGGUCGAGACCUCCUGACACUGCACAAAAAAGCCCUGAUGAGAUCUCCAGCCCUGAUUUGCUGUAUCCUGGUCGAGAGCAAUCAACAACUCUUCUUUCCAAGCCAAACCAGGGUACAGCCUGUGGAAGAAGCAUCAAGCAGGAGGGAACCACGAGUGAUCAGUCAUCAGGCAUGCACAAGUUUUGCUAUGGCUUUCUCCUAGUUUUUAUCCAGUCACACUGAACUCCACCAGAUCUGCCCCAAUAUGGUGCAGCCACAACAACAAUAGGGAAAUGUCUGCUCCACCCUGGAGGUAUCAGGAGUCCUGGCUCAUAUGGAAGCUGAGAGAGGGUGCAGGUGCCUCUUGUUUUAUGCUUGGGUUGCUUUAGGAUCAGUAGCCUCAACCAUGCUGCCUGCACCAGCCACUGCAGCAAAGAGUGUGGGCAAAACUAAACCUGUGUGGAUUUAGCUGUCAUCAUUCAAAUAUGAAACUGUUGAAAAGGAGCAGUUUUGACAAACUGGACCAGUGUCUGAUAUUUGUAAACCAGCAUGUGUCUGUGUUCAUAUUUAUUCGCACCAUUCUUCAAUGCUCUAGUUCCUAGAUUGGUGUGAGGAUAGUUCCUUGGAAAUUAAUAACUGUUAGAGCUUUGUGGCUCAGUGAGUUGUUUACUUCCUUACAUCAUUAAUACUAUCCUUGUAGGGAGGAGGAGUGUUGAAAAUAAUAAACACUCUUUCCUUCAUUAA